GAAAAAAGAAAUAUGGAGAAUAAUAAAUAACUGAAUACUAUUGUAAUACAAUAGUAUUGUAUUAUGAUGGGUUUUAAUACACUUAUUACACAUGCUAAAAUUUGAUCAUGAAAAAAUAGGAAUUGAAAGUUGAAAUUUUUAAAAGCAGUAACAUGUUACUGCUAUUGAGAAUUUUUCAAAUUAUGUGUAAAUUGGACUUUAUUUCUGGCAUGCAGUGAAAUAUUUAAUUUUCCAACUCGCAGGUACUCCACUUUUUUGGUAAAUCCUGCCUAAUAAAACAUUCAUUUCAUUUUUUAUGAUAUUGUUUUUUUCAAAAAACAUAAAUUAUUGUAUUAUUUGAUCUAUAAAAAAACUAUUAAUUAUUAAAAUAUUAUAUUUAAUAUGUAAGGUGAGCCUAGCAGUAGACAUUGAAAGCCAUUGGAUUAAGUAUAAGAUUAGAUACUACACCUCGGACCACUUGUAGUACGCACCAAGUAAAAAGGUAUUUGGAAACCUCUAUGAGCAUCACUGUUGUCAAAUCAAAAAAUUAUAUCAACCAAAAUUUAAUUUGUUUUUAUCUACUAAACAAAUAUUUACUUUUGAAAAAAGAAUUGAAGGUAGUAUAAAAAUUUUCAUAAUUUUUUGGUUGUGCAAAAAGAUAAGUUUGCACAGAUCAAUUUAUAUCACUGCUUAAAAGUCACAUCUUUCAUAAUAACACCCUGCAUAUACAAAAUCUCAUUCAUCUGAUUUCAUUUAAAGAAUCUAAAUGUAUAUGUACAAAUCUAAAAAAAAUAUCCCCUACCAGAAAACAACAUAGUUAGAUUCAUAUUGAAAUUAAACCUAACUUCAAUCCACUUAUAAAACAACUCCAGCUAACUCCAGAGUUGGGCUCAUUUAGUACAGAGGGAUCCACUAGAUAUGUCCAAAAGUAGUGGAAAAUAAAUAUAUUUAUAUAAUAUUAUGUAAGUACUUAUGUCCUACAACACAACAUGACAAACAAUUAUCUGGUGGCCAUACAUAUGAGCAAGGGUAGGUUAAUUAUUAUUUUAGGUUAUAGCACUAGUUCUGCUUUAGCCUUUCAAGCAGAUUUGGAGUUAAAACAAGGAUUAGGUAUAGUGGGUUAGAGUAAGUUUGCAAGAAGUGUUUGUUGCUUGAACUAUUUCAAUUUGUAAGACUGAAUGCAAGGUGUAAUUUGAAAAAGGUGUAGAUAUGGGGCACCUGUAAAGGAGGGGAUCUGAUGUUGUAAUGGCCAAUGAGGUUGAUAGCUUCAGUUAUUAGCUCUAUAUAAAAAUAUAUAUUUAUUUUUCAUCAUUUUUUGAUUUUCCCUGGAGUAUCCUCUAAAGUUGUGAGAAAAUGGGAAAUUAGGUACAAUAUUAUUUAAGUAAAUGUUUAAUGCGUGGGUAAUUAUUUUACCAUAAUAUGACAUAUUAUUAUAUAUUAUA